rnacentral:misc_RNA from 1 species
CGCUGCUUGUCCUCGGGCAGCAGGUCGGAUUCGACGUCGAUCCCAACUGCCCGCCGAUCGCCUCCGCCGUCCGGCCGUUAUCGCCGGUCAGCAUCAGGGUGCGUAUUCCCGCGUCCGCUAGAAGCUUNNNNNNNNCUGCAUCAUACCCCUCCGCAUGAAAGAGCGUGACAUUGUGAAGCUUUUAGCAGGCGUCUGGCAUCACGGACUUUCCAUCAGCAUCAGUCCAUAGCCAUUGCACCUUGUUGCUCGCCUAGCGAAGUCUAGGGUCUUCAGUCGCGCGCUGGAGAACUCAUU